GUGAACGCUGGCGGUAGGCCUAACACAUGCCAGUCGAACGGCAGCACAGUAAGAGCUUGCUCUUACGGGUGGCGAGUGGCGGACGGGUGAGGAAUACAUCGGAAUCUACUUUUUCGUGGGGGAUAACGUAGGGAAACUUACGCUAAUACCGCAUACGACCUACGGGUGAAAGCAGGGGAUCUUCGGACCUUGCGCGAUUGAAUGAGCCGAUGUCGGAUUAGCUAGUUGGCGGGGUAAAGGCCCACCAAGGCGACGAUCCGUAGCUGGUCUGAGAGGAUGAUCAGCCACACUGGAACUGAGACACGGUCCAGACUCCUACGGGAGGCAGCAGUGGGGAAUAUUGGACAAUGGGCGCAAGCCUGAUCCAGCCAUACCGCGUGGGUGAAGAAGGCCUUCGGGUUGUAAAGCCCUUUUGUUGGGAAAGAAAAGCAGCAGGUUAAUACCCCGCUGUUCUGACGGUACCCAAAGAAUAAGCACCGGCUAAUUUCGUG
rnacentral:rRNA from 1 species